rnacentral:rRNA from 1 species
GAUGAACGCUAGCGGCAGGCUUAAUACAUGCAAGUCGAGGGGCAGCAUGACUGUAGCAAUACAGUUGAUGGCGACCGGCAAACGGGUGCGGAACACGUACAGAACCUUCCUUCGAGCGGGGAAUAGCCCAGAGAAAUUUGGAUUAAUACCCCAUAGUAUAUUGGAGUGGCAUCACUUUGAUAUUAAAGAUUCAUCACUUGAAGAUGGCUGUGCGGCUGAUUAGGUAGUUGGCGGGGUAACGGCCCACCAAGCCUGCGAUCAGUAACUGGUGUGAGAGAACGACCAGUCACACGGGCACUGAGACACGGGCCCGACUCCUACGGGAGGCAGCAGUAAGGAAUAUUGGUCAAUGGACGAAAGUCUGAACCAGCCAUGCCGCGUGGAGGAUGAAGGUCCUCUGGAUUGUAAACUUCUUUUAUAUGGGACGAAAAAAGGCUUUUCUAAGUCGUCUGACGGUACCAUAUGAAUAAGCACCGGCUAACUCCGUGCCAGCAGCCGCGGUAACAC